AAUUAAUUAGCCUUUUUAUAUUUACAGUUUAUAUCAAAUUUUAUCAAAAGAUAAAAAAUACAAAGAAGAGAGGGAGAUAAGUAUAUGAGUGCAGAAGAGAAAAAAAUAUGGAGAAAGAGAAAUAAAGAAGGGUAAGAAAGAAAUAAGGAAAGAAAGUUAGGGCAGUUUCGAUAGAAAAAGAAUCAGAAGGGAUUGAAGAGUUAAUGAAACUGAAUUAU
rnacentral:misc_RNA from 1 species